rnacentral:rRNA from 1 species
CAGUCGCCGCGGGAAUACCAGCAGCCCAAGUGGUGGUCGCGAUUAUUGGGCCUAAAGCGCUCGUAGCCGGGCCGGUAAGUCCCUUGUGAAAUCGGACGGCCUAACCGUUCGGCGUGCAGGGGAUACUGUCGGUCUUGAGGCCGGGAGACGUCCGAGGUACUCCGGGGGUAGCGGUGAAAUGUUCUGAUCCUCGGGGGACCACCGGUGGCGAAGGCGUUCGACGAGAGCGGGCCUGACGGUGAGGGGCGAAGGCUAGGGGAGCAAACGGGAUUAGAUACCCGGGUAGUCCCUGUCUCUUAUU